AGAAACUUCAGUGCAUUGAAGUAAACGCGUUCAAUAAAACCCUAUUUCCCAAUCAUUUUGGUCCUCCUUCCUCCCUCUAAUCGUCGUCUACGCGUCCGCCUUCUCCUUCGUUUGCCAUCUCCGGUUUGUAUUGCACACCAGAUGUCUGUUAGCAUCAACCAGAAGCAUCACUAUUUUGUUUGGGCUGCGUUGAAUCGCACAAGACAUUGGUGCUCCGGGAAGAUAUUGUUUAGGCAUUGGACUUGACUCUGGUGUAUACUAGUCUAUGACUUUCUUUUGUUAGAAUUUGCUUCACUGAGACCUACUAGUGCUGUGUUCUUUUCAUUUUUUUUGUCAGUGCGGUUUUUUACUAUUUCCAAUGGCGAAGCUUCCACCAGGAUUUCGCUUUCACCCUACUGAUGUUGAGCUGAUAAUGUACUAUCUAAAGCGGAAGAUCAUGGGGAAAAAGAUCCUUUUUGAAGUCAUAUCAGAACUCAACAUUUAUAAGUUCUCCCAUCGGAUCUUCCAGACAAAUGUUGCUACAAAAGUAAAGAUCUUGAAUGGUAUUUCUUUUGCCCAAGUGAGAGAAAGUAUGCAAGUGGAUUCAGGAUGAAUCGCACUAUUGAAAUUGGAUUCUGGAAAAUUACUGGCAGGGAUAGACGUGUUCUUUAUGAUGAAAAGUUUGUUGGAUCUGUUAAGACUUUGGUUUUUCACCAAGGUAAAGCACCACGAGUGCAGAGAACUGAUUGGGCUAUUCACGAGUAUAGAUUUGAAGAUAAAAAUAUGGAAGAUGCAGGAUUUUCGCUGGUGUAGGCACAGGUGGACGGUAGAGCUACAGGUUCGCUGUUGCAGCUAUCCUAACGUCAGCAUUCAUUCGGAGUUUGGUAGGUCCUCACGCUUUCGAGGAUGCUACUGUUUUACAUUCUAGCGUAGUUUUAUAGUUGAGCUAGUGGAGCAUGUUCCACUAGCGUUUCUUUCCUGUUUUGGUUCAGACUUUGUAU